rnacentral:rRNA from 1 species
AUGGCAUUAGCUGAACCCCUAGAACCGCCGCCGCCGUCGCAUCUAACCCGCGCGCCACUCCGCGGGCCGGGAUCCAGCCCCCGCGCCUCCCCACUCCUGGAUCCGGCCGCCUCACUGCUCCCGCGCCUGAGCCGGCCCCCGUGCCGCCCCACUCCUGGAUCCGGCCGCCUUCCCACCUUGCUCCCUCGGCAGCACCGCCUCAGGCCGACGACGCGAGGAGGCCGAGCUCGGCCGUGCUCGCCACCUCGGCAGCUCACCCCGCCGCAGCCACCUCCGCCCUUGCCUCCAACCACCGCCCCGACCACCUUCACCACCGUCCUCUGCCCCGACCACCUCCCUUCCACCCGCCCCCAACUUCCCCUCCGGCGUGACCUUCCCAGCACUCCGCCGCGACCUUCCCUCCCCUCCGACGCGACCUUCCCUCCCCUCCGACGCGACCUGCCCUCCGCCCAUGUUUCUUGCACCAUGCUGUCGUCCCCACUCGCAAAUCGAGCCAUGGCCGGCGAGAUCCAUCAUGGCUCCCCUGCAGCAGCUAUUUUUCCAUAUGUAGUGGUUGCAAAAUAUCUACUAUCCCCAGUUUACCAACUAGUGCUAUUGGCCUCUGCAGCAAAACCUGAACCAUCUUCUCUUGAAUUCCUCCAGCCUAACACACCCGUGAGAUCGCCUGACUACGACAACUAUGUGCAAGGGACCCUCACCAUGGGUGUCGCAGACGAGUACGUGGGCGCCGUCAUCAGCUAUGCCGGGAGGACCAUACGUGAGAUCGAACGGGUUACGGGCGUGCAAAUUAGUAUCUCUAAGGGGGAGCUCAAAGCUGGGACGAGCGAGAGGGAGGUGGUGAUCAGUGGGACAUGGGAGGCGGUCGAUGCGGCGGAGGUGAUGAUCGUGCAGCGGGUCUCGGACGCUGCCAAUAGUCGCCGCCGGGCAGGAGAUGUCCCAAGUUUUUUGGUCCCUUGUGUGCGUCGCCGGAGCAACUUAUUAGCAAGAAUUGCUUACUUGGGAGGGGAAGGCAUGGUGCAAUUACUGAUGGUUGCACGGUUAGUUUUGGUUUUGGUCAAUGUUGCUUCCAUGUUUGACUACUAG